rnacentral:lncRNA from 1 species
AAAAAGAGAAAGGAUGAAGAAACAAAACCACAAUGGAGUCCCUCUCUUGAGAUCAUAUUAAUGAUCCAAGUAGCUCCCAAACUUUGGAAUAAGCAAUCAGAAAAAUAGUAAGCUCAAGCAAUCAAACAAGUCUCUUAAGAGAUCCUCAAUGUAUCUUGUGUCUUUCACUUUGGAUGAGCAUGGCAAUGGUCCUUCAAUUAAACUCAAGUCGGAACCCCUAGCACAAGAACACACACAUCAAAGAGUUU